rnacentral:lncRNA from 1 species
GUAUGGAAGUACACAUGGUUAUUGGUGAGUGACCUUCUUGGCAUAUGUAGAUUUUCUGCAUUCUGAAUUUUUAGCGCUUGUGAUUCUUGUAGGUUAUGCUUUAUUCAGGUGUAUCACUUGUACUUCCAUUGCUCUACAUUUUACUUAAAUCACAUAUUUGACACCUUGUAAAAUCUGCAGUUAAUUACAAAAUCCCCAGAGUUGCAGAGGUGUUCUAGAUUAUUUCAUUAGUCCAUUUAGAGCAUGUCAAAUGGAGCAUCUUAUUUAGGGAUAAAAUCAACUUUCCUCUGAAGUCUGCUGCUGGUACCGCUCUUUUAUAUGGUGUUCUGAACUGGCCACGCUCUUGUGACAGAUUACUACAUCUAGCUGAAGUUAAUAGCGCAAGGUGCUUGCUUAAGCUGCCAGCAUGUAAGAAAUACUAACAUAUUUGUUACCAUUGUAAUAUGAUAUCUCAAUUAGGGUGCGCGUGUGCGUAUGUGUGUGCCCUUGUAGCUGGUCUAUUUGCAAAUGGAACUGCUCCAAAAAAAUUCAAUUAGAGCUAGCUGAGAGUGACAGAUAACUACAUCUAUGUGAACCUGCAUUGUCCUACAGUCAUACUCUAAGCUAGCUGAUAGUGACAGAGUACUACAUCUAUGUGAACCCGUAUUAUCCUAUUAUGCUUCUCUU